AGAGUUUGAUCAUGGCUCAGGAUGAACGCUAGCGGCAGGCUUAAUACAUGCAAGUCGAACGGGAUUCAGAUUAGCAAUAAUUUGAUGAGAGUGGCGCACGGGUGCGUAACACGUAUGCAACCUACCUUUAACUGGUGAAUAGCCCCGGGAAAUCGGGAUUAAUACACCAUAACAUUGCGAGAUGGCAUCAUUUUGCAAUUAAAGAACUUCGGUUAGAGAUGGGCAUGCGGGACAUUAGCUAGUUGGUGAGGUAACGGCUCACCAAGGCAACGAUGUCUAGGGGUCCUGAGAGGGUUAUCCCCCACACUGGUACUGAGACACGGACCAGACUCCUACGGGAGGCAGCAGUAAGGAAUAUUGGUCAAUGGGCGCAAGCCUGAACCAGCCAUGCCGCGUGAAGGAAGACGGCCCUAUGGGUUGUAAACUUCUUUUGUCAGGGAAUAAACGUGAGUACGUGUACUCACCUGAAGGUACCUGAAGAAUAAGCAUCGGCUAACUCCGUGCCAGCAGCCGCGGUAAUACGGAGGAUGCAAGCGUUAUCCGGAUUCAUUGGGUUUAAAGGGUGCGCAGGCGGAUUGGUAAGUCAGGGGUGAAAUCCCACAGCUCAACUGUGGAACUGCCUUUGAUACUGUCAGUCUAGAGUAUAGUUGAAGUUGGCGGAAUGUGUCAUGUAGCGGUGAAAUGCUUAGAUAUGACACAGAACACCGAUCGCGAAGGCAGCUAGCUAGGCUAUAACUGACGCUCAUGCACGAAAGCGUGGGGAUCAAACAGGAUUAGAUACCCUGGUAGUCCACGCUGUA
rnacentral:rRNA from 1 species